rnacentral:rRNA from 1 species
UGCAAGUCGAACGAGAGAGAGGGAGCUUGCUUCCUCAAUCGAGUGGCGAACGGGUGAGUAACGCGUGAGGAACCUGCCUCAAAGAGGGGGACAACAGUUGGAAACGACUGCUAAUACCGCAUAAGCCCACGACCCGGCAUCGGGUAGAGGGAAAAGGAGCAAUCCGCUUUGAGAUGGCCUCGCGUCCGAUUAGCUAGUUGGUGAGGUAACGGCCCACCAAGGCGACGAUCGGUAGCCGGACUGAGAGGUUGAACGGCCACAUUGGGACUGAGACACGGCCCAGACUCCUACGGGAGGCAGCAGUGGGGAAUAUUGCACAAUGGGGGAAACCCUGAUGCAGCGACGCCGCGUGGAGGAAGAAGGUCUUCGGAUUGUAAACUCCUGUUGUUGAGGAAGAUAAUGACGGUACUCAACAAGGAAGUGACGGCUAACUACGUGCCAGCAGCCGCGGUAAAACGUAGGUCACAAGCGUUGUCCGGAAUUACUGGGUGUAAAGGGAGCGCAGGCGGGAAGACAAGUUGGAAGUGAAAUCCAUGGGCUCAACCCAUGAACUGCUUUCAAAACUGUUUUUCUUGAGUAGUGCAGAGGUAGGCGGAAUUCCCGGUGUAGCGGUGGAAUGCGUAGAUAUCGGGAGGAACACCAGUGGCGAAGGCGGCCUACUGGGCACCAACUGACGCUGAGGCUCGAAAGUGUGGGUAGCAAACAGGAUUAGAUACCCUGGUAGUCCACACUGUAAACGAUGAUUACUAGGUGUUGGAGGAUUGACCCCUUCAGUGCCGCAGUUAACACAAUAA